AGAGUUUGAUCAUGGCUCAGAUUGAACGCUGGCGGCAUGCCUUACACAUGCAAGUCGAACGGCAGCACGGGAGCAAUCCUGGUGGCGAGUGGCGAACGGGUGAGUAAUAUAUCGGAACGUGCCCAGUCGUGGGGGAUAACGCAGCGAAAGCUGUGCUAAUACCGCAUACGAUCUCUGGAUGAAAGCGGGGGACUCAGCAAUGGGCCUCGCGCGAUUGGAGCGGCCGAUAUCAGAUUAGCUAGUUGGUGGGGUAAAAGCUCACCAAGGCGACGAUCUGUAGCUGGUCUGAGAGGACGACCAGCCACACUGGAACUGAGACACGGUCCAGACUCCUACGGGAGGCAGCAGUGGGGAAUUUUGGACAAUGGGCGCAAGCCUGAUCCAGCAAUGCCGCGUGCAGGAUGAAGGCCUUCGGGUUGUAAACUGCUUUUGUACGGAACGAAACGGUCGCCUCUAAUAAAGGUGGCUAAUGACGGUACCGUAAGAAUAAGCACCGGCUAACUACGUGCCAGCCGCCGCGGUAAUUC
rnacentral:rRNA from 1 species